rnacentral:ncRNA from 1 species
ACGAUAAAGGCAAACCCUCUGCGAGGAGGGGACGCAAAGCCACGGGUCUUUCUGAGAUAGCCGGGCUACCGA